rnacentral:rRNA from 1 species
ACGGGAGGCAGCAGUGGGGAAUAUUGCACAAUGGGGGAAACCCUGAUGCAGCGACGCCGCGUGAGCGAAGAAGUAUUUCGGUAUGUAAAGCUCUAUCAGCAGGGAAGAAAAUGACGGUACCUGACUAAGAAGCUCCGGCUAAAUACGUGCCAGCAGCCGCGGUAAUACGUAUGGAGCAAGCGUUAUCCGGAUUUACUGGGUGUAAAGGGAGCGUAGACGGAACAGCAAGUCUGAUGUGAAAGGCAGGGGCUCAACUCCUGGACUGCAUUGGAAACUGCUGAUCUUGAGUGUCGGAGAGGUAAGCGGAAUUCCUAGUGUAGCGGUGAAAUGCGUAGAUAUUAGGAGGAACACCAGUGGCGAAGGCGGCUUACUGGACUGUAACUGACGUUGAGGCUCGAAAGCGUGGGGAGCAAACAGGAUUAGAUACCCUGGUA